GACCUGGUCCCAUGCAAUGUGUUGCGGGGCCAGCGGGUCAGGCGGGAAACCGAGCAGCCCAGCUUCGUUGAUGCAUGUGCCGUGGGUCGCUGGGUCGGA
rnacentral:SRP_RNA from 1 species